AGACCAGGUGAUGAAAAUUGAUUUUAAUCUCAUGAUGGUCAUCAGAGACUUUGUGUUGAUGUUGAUUUAAUCUUUCUGAUGGUU
rnacentral:snoRNA from 1 species